UGGGGAAUAUUGCACAAUGGGCGCAAGCCUGAUGCAGCCAUGCCGCGUGUAUGAAGAAGGCCUUCGGGUUGUAAAGUACUUUCAGUCGGGAGGAAGGUGGUAAGGUUAAUAACCUUAUCAAUUGACGUUACCGACAGAAGAAGCACCGGCUAACUCCGUGCCAGCAGCCGCGGUAAUACGGGGGGUGCAAGCGUUAAUCGGAAUUACUGGGCGUAAAGCGCACGCAGGCGGUUGAUUGAGUCAGAUGUGAAAUCCCCGGGCUUAACCCGGGAAUUGCAUCUGAGACUGGUCAGCUAGAGUCUUGUAGAGGGGGGUAGAAUUCCAUGUGUAGCGGUGAAAUGCGUAGAGAUGUGGAGGAAUACCGGUGGCGAAGGCGGCCCCCUGGACAAAGACUGACGCUCAGGUGCGAAAGCGUGGGGAGCAAACAGG
rnacentral:rRNA from 1 species